UACAGAGGGUGCAAGCGUUGUUCGGAAUUACUGGGCGUAAAGCGUGCGUAGUCGGUAUUGAGAGUCGCGGGUGAAAUCCCAGGCUUAACCCUGGAACUGCCUGCGAGACCUCAGUACUAGAGUGUGAGAGGGAUAGUGGAAUACCCAGUGUAGCGGUGAAAUGCGUAGAGAUUGGGUGGAACACCGGUGGCGAAGGUGGCUAUCUGGCUCACAAACUGACGAUCAGGCACGGAAAGCGUGGGAGCAAACAGG
rnacentral:rRNA from 1 species